rnacentral:rRNA from 1 species
UACAGAGGUCCCAAGCGUUGUUCGGAUUCACUGGGCGUAAAGGGUGCGUAGGCGGUCGGGUAAGUCUGAUGUGAAAUCUCACAGCUUAACUGUGAAACUGCAUUGGAUACUAUCCGGCUCGAGGAAUGGAGGGGAGACUGGAAUACUUGGUGUAGCAGUGAAAUGCGUAGAUAUCAAGUGGAACACCAGUGGGGAAGGCGAGUCUCUGGACAUUUCCUGACGCUGAGGCACGAAAGCCAGGGGAGCAAACGGG